rnacentral:misc_RNA from 1 species
CCAACGGCACGCAGGCCGACUGGAUGUGCCUGCUUGCCAAUACCGGCGAUGGCCCAGUCCAUCGCAACAAAUCGCUGAUCUGCCUGCCGAUGAAGACCAAGGGCGUUGAGGUGCUGCGCAAGCUUGACAAGAUGGGCAUGCACUGCUCGGACANCGCCGAAAUCAAAUUCACCGACGUCCGCAUCCCGAAGCGCAAUCGCAUCGGCGAGGAAGGCNNCAAGGGCUUCACCUAUCAGAUGAUGCAGUUCCAGGAGGAACGGAUGUGGGCGGUUGCCGCG